GAUGAACGCUGGCGGCGUGCCUAAUACAUGCAAGUCGAGCGAACAGACGAGGAGCUUGCUCCUCUGACGUUAGCGGCGGACGGGUGAGUAACACGUGGAUAACCUACCUAUAAGUCUGGGAUAACUUCGGGAAACCGGAGCUAAUACCGGAUAAUAUAUUGAACCGCAUGGUUCAAUAGUGAAAGACGGUUUUGCUGUCACUUAUAGAUGGAUCCGCGCCGCAUUAGCUAGUUGGUAAGGUAACGGCUUACCAAGGCAACGAUGCGUAGCCGACCUGAGAGGGUGAUCGGCCACACUGGAACUGAGACACGGUCCAGACUCCUACGGGAGGCAGCAGUAGGGAAUCUUCCGCAAUGGGCGAAAGCUUGACGGAGCAACGCCGCGUGAGUGAUGAAGGUCUUCGGAUCGUAAAACUCUGUUAUUAGGGAAGAACAAAUGUGUAAGUAACUAUGCACGUCUUGACGGUACCUAAUCAGAAAGCCACGGCUAACUACGU
rnacentral:rRNA from 1 species